GACGAACGCUGGCGGCGUGCUUAACACAUGCAAGUCGAACGGAAAGGCCCUGCUUUUGUGGGGUGCUCGAGUGGCGAACGGGUGAGUAACACGUGAGUAACCUGCCCUUGACUUUGGGAUAACUUCAGGAAACUGGGGCUAAUACCGGAUAGGAGCUCCUGCUGCAUGGUGGGGGUUGGAAAGUUUCGGCGGUUGGGGAUGGACUCGCGGCUUAUCAGCUUGUUGGUGGGGUAGUGGCUUACCAAGGCUUUGACGGGUAGCCGGCCUGAGAGGGUGACCGGCCACAUUGGGACUGAGAUACGGCCCAGACUCCUACGGGAGGCAGCAGUGGGGAAUAUUGCACAAUGGGCGGAAGCCAGAUGCAGCAACGCCGCGUGCGGGAUGACGGCCUUCGGGUUGUAAACCGCUUUCGCCUGUGACGAAGCGUGAGUGACGGUAAUGGGUAAAGAAGCACCGGCUAACUACGCG
rnacentral:rRNA from 1 species